rnacentral:rRNA from 1 species
UACGUAGGGUGCAAGCGUUGUCCGGAAUUAUUGGGCGUAAAGAGCUCGUAGGCGGUCUGUUGCGUCGGCUGUGAAAACCCGAGGCUCAACCUCGGGCCUGCAGCCGAUACGGGCAGACUAGAGUUCGGCAGGGGAGACUGGAAUUCCUGGUGUAGCGGUGAAAUGCGCAGAUAUCAGGAGGAACACCGAUGGCGAAGGCAGGUCUCUGGGCCACUACUGACGCUGAGAGGCGGAAAGCAUGGGGAGCGAACAGG